GUAGGGAAUAUUGGGCAAUGGUCGGAAGACUGACCCAGCCAUGCCGCGUGCAGGAAGACGGCCCUCUGGGUUGUAAACUGCUUUUAUCUGGGAAGAAAAAGGCCAUGCGUGGCAAAUUGCCGGUACCAGAUGAAUAAGCACCGGCUAACUCCGUGCCAGCAGCCGCGGUAAUACGGAGGGUGCGAGCGUUGUCCGGAUUUAUUGGGUUUAAAGGGUGCGUAGGCGGCUGAUUAAGUCAGCGGUGAAAGACUUCGGCUUAACCGGAGCAGUGCCGUUGAUACUGGUUGGCUUGAGUGUCGGAGGGGUACAUGGAAUUGAUGGUGUAGCGGUGAAAUGCAUAGAUGCCAUCAGGAACACCGAUAGCGAAGGCAUUGUACUGGCCGACAACUGACGCUGAUGCACGAAAGUGUGGGGAUCGAACAGGAUUAGAUACCCCUGUAGUCC
rnacentral:rRNA from 1 species